CCUACGGGAGGCUGCAGUGGGGAAUAUUGGACAAUGGGCGAAAGCCUGAUCCAGCCAUGCCGCGUGUGUGAAGAAGGCCUUCGGGUUGUAAAGCACUUUCAGUGGGGAAGAAAGCCUUGGGGCUAAUACCCUCGAGGAAGGACAUCACCCACAGAAGAAGCACCGGCUAACUCCGUGCCAGCAGCCGCGGUAAUACGGAGGGUGCGAGCGUUAAUCGGAAUUACUGGGCGUAAAGCGCGCGUAGGCGGUCUGAUAAGCCGGUUGUGAAAGCCCCGGGCUCAACCUGGGAACGGCAUCCGGAACUGUCAGGCUAGAGUGCAGGAGAGGAAGGUAGAAUUCCCGGUGUAGCGGUGAAAUGCGUAGAGAUCGGGAGGAAUAACAGUGGCGAAGGCGGCAUUCUGGACUGACACUGACGCUGAGGUGCGAAAGCGUGGGUAGCAAACAGGAUUAGAUACCCCAGUAGUC
rnacentral:rRNA from 1 species